rnacentral:rRNA from 1 species
GACGUAGGGUGCGAGCGUUGUCCGGAUUUAUUGGGCGUAAAGAGCUCGUAGGCGGCUCGUCGCGUCGACCGUGAAAACCCGCGGCUUAACUGCGGGCUUGCGGUUGAUACGGGCGGGCUAGAGUUCGGUAGGGGAGACUGGAAUUCCUGGUGUAGCGGUGAAAUGCGCAGAUAUCUGGAGGAACACCGGUGGCGAAGGCGGCAUCCUGGACCGGUAUUGACGCUGAUGCGCGAAAGCCAGGGGAGCAAACGGG